GAGGACUGGGGCAGGGUGCUGGCACCUUAGGUGCAGUUGGGUGAUAAGAGGUUAGCUAUGGAGAAUUGGUAGUACAGGACUCACAGGUAGGAGCCGCCAAGAAUGCCUGCAGUUCCCUUCUAUCCCAGAAGGUGGCAGAAUGGUGCCUCCUGGGUUAUGGAAAGCUUGUGUCUACUCUGCCUCAAUUUCCCCACCUGAAAACUUGGGACAUAUCUCCUAGGAAAAUGAAUGGAGAGACAGCUGCAAACCUAGAAGGGUUUGUUAAGAGUAAUGCCCCAGCAGCAUGGGGUCUCUCGUGACAGUAGAGACCUGUUCCUGUGGCUCUGUGGUGGCCAUGCCCAGUGCCCACCCCCCUUCCUACCGUAUAGCCCAGCAUCAGCUGCCUCUUUGCUCCUUCGAACUCCAGCUUUGUUGGGCUUCUUUUUCACAGCCUGGGAAAGUUCUAGAGUCUUCCCCUUACCUGUAGAAACCUCAGAGACCACUUCCCCGUCCCCCAGCUUCCCUUUGGCUGGGAUCCUGUUCUGGUCCUUCAACUUACUGAGCCUGUGACACAACACCAUGAUUGGACUUACCCCUUCUUCAGUGUCCGUGCCCAUCCCAUCACCCCACUGCCUCCCAACCCCCGGAGCAGGGCCCAAAAUCAAACAGCUGUGUCCUUUCUACAGGGCCUUGGUCCAUCUUUUGAAGACAGUUCCCCACACAGAGGCAGACUAAGGGGACAGUCUGCUAAUGUGAUCCCCUUUCCUUCCUGUGACAAUGCCAUCCUUCAGGGAAAGGAGGUGAGGCUCAGUGAUCCCCAGCUUCCUAGGGGAUCCAGUUCCUCUGUGUCCUUUCCAGGAACCGUUCUGUGAUGGUAAGGCUACCACUUCUGCUGGUGGGAGACGAGCCCCUGGAUGUGGCCCAGGUGGUCAGUUACCUGGUGGAGGAGAAACUCCUGCGGCCACUCCGCAGGCUGUAUGAGGCUAACAUGCUGGCUGAGUUCUAUGGGUUCCAGCGGCGUCUACUGAGGAGCCCCUUCAAGCAAUACGCCGUGGUGGUGGGCACCAGAUACCUGGUGACCUUUGAUGGGCAGGUGUGGGGCCUGGGUCCCUGCUGUGGCAGCUUCCUGCUAGCCAAGGACUUCACUCACCAAACAUUCUCUCUGAUGCUGAGCCGCACAAGCUCAGGCUUCACGGCCCUUCAUGUGGAGCUGAACCACACAACCCUCGUUCUGUAUCCUAGCCUAAAGGUACGUGCUCGGGAGUGGGAGGGGCUCCCUGGAGCUGCUUGUCUGCAUGUUGCCUACAGGUUUGGUGCUGGGAGUGAUUCCAGCUUAUCCCUGUGUGGUCCACAGGCUUACAAGCAGUACGACACUGCCUGGCCUCAGGACAGCUGCUGGGAUUUAGACCCACCUCCUGCUAUGUUGAGCACUGGACCCAAGGUUGAGCUGAGCAGCGAGGAUGGUGUGUCUGUCUUCUGUGAUGUGCCAGCAGGCCUCUGCAGCCUGACGCUGAGCCUGUGGCACCAUGGUGGGUCGGAGUUUGGUGCUACCCACAAGGGCCUUUUCUAG
rnacentral:lncRNA from 1 species